GAUGAACGCUGGCGGCGUGCCUAAUACAUGCAAGUCGAGCGGACAGACGAUGAUCUUGCUGCGCUGACGUUAGCGGCGGGCGGGUGAGUAACACGUGGAUAACCUACCUAUAAGACGGAGAUAACUUCGGGAAAGCGGAGCUAAUACGGUAGGAGAUAUUGAAGCGCGGGGGGGAAUGGUGAAAGACGGCUGUGCGGUAUCGUAUAGAUGCAUACCCGCCGCAUUAGCUAGUUGGUAAGGUAACGGGUUAGCAAGGCGACGAUGCGUGGCCGAACUCAGAGGCUGAUCGGCCACCCUGGAGCUGAGACACGGUCCAUACUCCUACGGGAGGCCGCAGUCGGCAACCUUCCGCAAUGGGCGAAAGCAUGACGGAACAACGCCGCGUCAGUGGUGAAGAUGUCCGGAUCGUAAAACCCUGUUACUAGGUAAGAACAACUGUGUAAGUAACUAUGCACGGAUUGACGGUACCUAAUCAGAAAGCCCCGGCUAACUACGUG
rnacentral:rRNA from 1 species